rnacentral:rRNA from 1 species
UUUUGGAGGGAGCCGUCUAAGGUGGGAUUGGCGAUUGGGACUAAGUCGUAACAAGGUAGCCGUACCGGAAGGUGCGGCUGGAUCACCUCCUUUCUAAGGAG